GACGAACCGUGCGAACGUUCUUCGGAAUCACUGGGCUUAAAGCGCGUGUAGGCGGAUCGGUGCGUCGGCGCCUGAAAUCCCCCGGCUCAACCGGGGAACGCGGCCCGAAACGACCGGUCUGGAGGGACGUAGGGGGGCCUGGAACUUCCGGUGGAGCGGUGAAAUGCGUUGAGAUCGGAAGGAACGCCCGUGGCGAAAGCGAGGCCCUGGACGUCUGCUGACGCUGAGACGCGAAAGCUAGGGGAGCGAACGGG
rnacentral:rRNA from 1 species